ensembl:lincRNA
CAGGGAGCAGUAAUGUCUCCAUUUAAGACGCAGGAGCCAAUGACUAGGCCCUUUUCCAAGUUGUACUCCAUGUGGAAAUUUUUGCCAACAUAAAUCUAAGGACAAGAAAUUUCUUCCUAGAGAUACAACACAAGUGAGACA